CCUUUUGUAGACCCAGGGAUAUCUUUCCAGGGGNNNUAUGUUGCUUCUUCAUUUACCCCAAUGUAUGUCAAUAGAAUGUUGUGCCCAUGAUAAAAAUCUAUACAACUUUNAGCAACGGAUCUCUUGGCUCUCGCAUCGAUGAAGAACGCAGCGAAAUGCGAUAAGUAAUGUGAAUUGCAGAAUUCAGUGAAUCAUCGAAUCUUUGAACGCACCUUGCGCUCCUUGGUAUUCCGAGGAGCAUGCCUGUUUGAGUGUCAUUAAUAUUAUAUGUCAAACCCUCUUUUUCUGAGUGGUUUGGAUGUGGGGGUGCUGGCCUCUUGAAGGGGUCAGCUCCCCUGAAAUACAUUAGCAGAACGACCUGUUUGUUCAUUGGUGUGAUAACUAUCUACGCUAUUGAACAGUGAAGGCAGUUCAGCUUCCUAAAAGUCUUUGGACAAUUUAUCAUCUAUGUGACCUCAAAUCAGGUAGGACUACCCGCUGAACUUAAGCAUAUCAAUAAGCGGAGGAAAAGAAACUAACAAGGAUUCCCCUAGUAACUGCGAGUGAAGCGGGAAAAGCUCAAAUUUAAAAUCUGGCGGUCUUUUGGCUGUCCGAGUUGUAAUCUAGAGAAGCGUUAUCCGCGCUGGACCAUGUACAAGUCUCCUGGAAUGGAGCAUCACAGAGGGUGAGAAUCCCGUCUUUGACAUGGACUGCCAGGGCUUUUGUGAUGCGCUCUCAAAGAGUCGAG
rnacentral:rRNA from 1 species